CUCACCUUAUUAAAAGCAGUCCUUCAUCAUGUUAAUGCAAUUUACUUGUGGAAAUUACACAAAGAUCGUAAAGCUUCUUUUCUGUAUACUAGCAUGGUGUCAAUCUGUAGAAACAUUAACAGAAUAUACAAAUUUGGGUCAAAACGUGUCUAUCACCUGUAAUCUUUCUGAAAAGAGAUUUAUUGGAUGCUACUGAAACCACCAAAUCGUCCAGUUAUGAUAUUACGUUUAUUUUCAACUUCACCAACCCCGUUUUACACUGAUAUAAACUUCAUAUCUAAAUAUUCAGUCAAACAGAAGCACAGUCUGUUUAUAACUAAUGUCACUGGUGAAGAGUUAGGUGUUUAUUACUGCAUGACCACAGAUGCACCUCCAGCAUUCAGCAAUGGCACCACACUUCAAAUCAAAGAACAAACUAAAUUACCGGAGUACCAGAGUCACACUGUAGUGACGUAUAUUGAGAAGAAUCAUUCUGUCGUGAACUAUACUGAGCAACUUCAGAGACCGUGUACUAUUAUAAUCCUCCUAUCUGGCUUGACGAAUGCCGUUCUAGUCAUUGUCAUCAUUGGUUGUGUCUGUUGCUACUCUGGAGAAAAUGUAAAAUGUCAAGCGGCAGAUUUGGAGUUUAAGCCUCUAGAGCAACUUCAGGAGUCAAAGACAGUGGUACUUUAGCCUAAAUUAUGCAGAACCAUUUUGUUUAGUUUACAUUCAUUUACUACAUCAGUACUUUUCACAUUGUAUGUAUUGCUCCAUUUUCAUUGUUUGGAUGUUAAAAUAUAACAUGGAUUUGCAAAUGCUAACACUGGUUUUGCUUUUUCAGUAUACCGAAGUGGUCUUUUCUUUGGUGUGUGAAAAGUUUGAACAAAAGAUAACCCAAAUAUCAAACACGAGAGCCUCUUCCUGACCAAUCACCAAUGUAUUAAAUAUA